UUCAGCGCACGCGUGGACGGAACGUGGGGUUUGAUGGGGUUGGUGGCGUUAAUCCAGAGUAGUAGGGCCCUGUGUGGCUGGGUCUACACGGUCUCACUUCGGUUUAGCAGCGGCUGAUCCAGUUUAGGGGUACGUCUUCACUACCCGCCCUGUCAGCGGGUAGCAAUCGAUUUAUCUGGGAUCGAUCCCCGAACGCGCUCCCCGUCGACUCCGGCACUCCACCAGAGCGAGCGGCAAUAGUGCAGUCGAUGGGGGAGCUGCGGCCGUCGAGCCCGCGCCGUGUGGACCCAGAUCAAAGACACGUUUGUUGAAAGCCACCAGCACCUUCCAGGGUAACAACAUGGACA